AUUGAACGCUGGCGGCAGGCCUAACACAUGCAAGUCGAGCGGAUGAAGGGAGCUUGCUCCUGGAUUCAGCGGCGGACGGGUGAGUAAUGCCUAGCAAUCUGCCUGGUAGUGGGGGAUAACGUCCGGAAACGGGCGCUAAUACCGCAUACGUCCUGAGGGAGAAAGUGGGGGAUCUUCGGACCUCACGCUAUCAGAUGAGCCUAGGUCGGAUUAGCUAGUUGGUGGGGUAAAGGCCUACCAAGGCGACGAUCCGUAACUGGUCUGAGAGGAUGAUCAGUCACACUGGAACUGAGACACGGUCCAGACUCCUACGGGAGGCAGCAGUGGGGAAUAUUGGACAAUGGGCGAAAGCCUGAUCCAGCCAUGUCGCGUGUGUGAAGAAGGUCUUCGGAUUGUAAAGCACUUUAAGUUGGGAGGAAGGGCAGUAAGUUAAUACCUUGCUGUUUUGACGUUACCAACAGAAUAAGCACCGGCUAACUUCGUG
rnacentral:rRNA from 1 species